AUUUAUAGCUCGUAUUUAAAGAGCCCUUGGGAGUCUCCCCGGGCUCGGCAGGGCGGCGGCGACGGCGGUGGCUGCGGAGCUGCAGUUAACGCUGCGCGCGUGAGGUGGCGGGGCGGCAGCCGCGCAUCCCGGCCCUGUGGCGUGUUGGGCGUGGGGGAGCGUCCUUACACGUUCCAGGGUGGCUUUUCCCCCACGUCCUCGCUCGGUUUCUGGAAAGGGGGAGGAAACGCCGCAGCUUCUACAGUACUUUUGCUUAAGACAAAGCCAGGGAUCAGGAAUCUCAAAAGAGCUGGGGGCAGAAGGUUUGAGCCGACUCCACCCCGGCUCUCCAUCGGAGCCCCGAGCGGCGCCGUUUCCUGAUGCUGGCUGUGCGUAGAGGCGGCCUUCCUGGGGGGAGGGGAGAACAAUGCUUCCUGAAAAGCCAAAAGUCGUGGAAUUUGGGGGCGGGGCUCGGGCCAAUUAAAGUGUAUUCGUGGAAAAUAAAUCGCAAGAUAGUGGCAGUGAUGAUCUUGGCGUUCAAUCGAUUGAUCUGACUUCCCAGUAGCGAACUGCACACUGCAGCGCGAAAGCAG
rnacentral:lncRNA from 1 species